rnacentral:rRNA from 1 species
CAACAACGAAGAGUUUGAUCCUGGCUCAGGAUGAACGCUAGCGACAGGCUUAACACAUGCAAGUCGAGGGGCAGCGGGGAUGAAGCUUGCUUCAUCUGCC